CUCUUGGGCUCAAGUGGUCCUCCUGCCUCGGCCUCCCAAAGUGCUGGAAUUACAGGUGUGAGCCACCCUACCUUGCUGAAAUACUUAAAUUCUGAAGGACCAAACUAUCCCCUUCUCAAAGAACAAUAUGAACUAGCACCAUUAUAAACUUGAUUCUGCUAUAAGAGUCCUACUCCUGAGGGCUUCUACCUACCUUAUUUUCAUACUUAUGAAAAUUAAUGCAUGUUCAAAGCAAAUGAAUCCAAACAGUAUACAAUUAAACUCCCUUACCCUAGACCCAUUUCUCCCAGAGCAGCUGUUAUGAUCAGCCUCUGGGUGUCCUUCCAGAAAUGUCUAGGCAGGUAAUGUAUACAAUCACUUUAAAAUUUCAAAUGGGAACAUGUCAUACACAUUAUUCUGUACUUUGCUUGUUUUAACUGACAUGUAGCUUGGAUAUUAAAAAAAAAUUAACAUAGUUUCCAUUUUUUUUAAAAAAAGCUUUAUUGAUAUAUAAGUUGCCAUAAAUAAUCACCAUAUAGUUUACCUUAAAAUUCGCUUGUUUUAAAUGUACAAUUCAGUGAUUUACAGUAAACUUACAGAGUUGUGCAGUGAUCACCACAAUCUAAUUUUAGAGUAUUUUCAUCAUCCUGUGCCUAUUUACAGCCACUCCACAUCCGUGCCCCCAGGCAAGCACUAAUCUAUUUUGUUUCUAUAGAUUGAUUUUAUUACUCUUUUUAAUAGCAACCUGUGGUCUGUUUUGGAAAAGUACAAAAAUGUAUUUAAUUGGGCUUUAUCCAAGCACAUUUAGCUUUUGCUGAUGUUUUAUUUUGCUGCCUGCCUACUUUUAAAAAAAUUAGAAAAGAUUGAAGUUUUGCCUUUGAGCCAUACUUGUUAAGAGUGAUAAGGGAGUUAUAUUAGCUGAAGUUGUUUGUGGAUUUUCCAGUCAUUAACUGUGGAACUAGAAGAAUUUUGGGGCCUGGAUAAUUAUUUACAUUGGAAUAGAAACUGCCUGAGGUGUUUCUUGAUUAGAUGGAAGCCCCAGCAUUUAGUGUGUAUUUUAUGGAUGUGGGUGAAGUGGAACUAAGUAUUUACACUUGAUUGGGAUGAAGGGGGAUUUAUUAUUUCAAUUUUUUGCUUUUGUCUCUACCUAGGAGGAUUUUAGGAGCUACUCAGUGUUCAGAAAUAUGUCUUAGGAUAUAUUCUCCAAACUGUUUCUUGGGACCUGUUACUGGGUUGUGGAUUUUGACCAGCUGUUUUUUUUAAGAAGAACAAAGUAGUAGAACAGUAUGAGACAAAAUGCCCUUCAUGUUCUCAUGGUGAGCAUUGUUUUCUUAAAUGUCAACUUUUGCUUAAAUGUGUGUGUGAAUGUGUUCGUUAUGUAGUAAUUAUCAGAAACGUUGGAAAACCAGUGCCUUAAGAGUAAGAGUAUAUUCAGGCUUCCUCUUUGUCAGAGCUCUUAACUCUCCUGGGGGCAGGUAGGCUGGGGCAGGUAGGGUGAGAAGACUCAGGUAGUUCACUGAGAUAGAACUUUGUUGUUGAGGUUGGCUUGGGAAGUGAGCCAGUUGUCUUGGGAAGUAGGAGGUGAAAAUGAAACUCCCUGUGUUACCACUUUUCUCUAUCAAAAAUAAUAAAUUAUUUCAAAUGUUCUAAACAAGGAGGCUUUGGAUAGAAUUUAGGUAGCUUGUUAGCUCUUCAGUUCUGGCAACAACCAUGUGUACAUCUAGACUAGGGAGAAGUUUACAAUUAAAUUCACUGGGUCUUGUGGUUGGAAGUAACCUGAAGGGAUAUCUAUGCAAGUUUCCAUCCUGUGGGUGCAUCCCUUCUGCAAUACCUCUGCCCGACAGUUCGGCAUCUGCACUUGCAUACGUCUCCUGGAAGAGAAUUCAUGAACUCUCUAGGGAUCCCAGUUCUUCGUCAGCUUCUUCAUGUUGAAACCCUCAGGCUUGAUACGUCUCAGGGUUUGGAUUGGCAUUAGUUAUCUAUUGCUGUGUAACAAAUUACCUCAUCAUUUAGGGGCUUAAGGCAACAAAUAUUUAUUGUCUCAGGAACAAGUCAGGAGUUUUGGAGCAGCUCAUCUGGAUGAUGUGGCUCAGGGCCUCUCGUGAGACUGUGGUCAAGUUGACAGUUGGGGCUGUCGUCAUUUGGAGGCUGAAUGGACUGAAGGAUCCACUUUCAACAUGGCUCCUGCACACACUUGUUGGCAAGAGGCCUCAGUUCCUACUGUGUGAACGUCCACUUGGAGCUGCCUGAGUGACACACUCUCCCUCGGAUCAGAAAGGAGACGUUGGUAAUGCCAAAGAUACUCCUUUGCUCCCUUCACAAAUGGGCACAGAUAUGGUCCUUUUGCCACCAGCUCUAGAAAGAAACAUGCAGAGAUGUUUGAAGGCAAGAAGACAGUGGCCUGCAUGACUUGGAGCCUUUCUCAAUUUGCUCCAUUAAAUGGAAACUCCGGAACCCAGGAUCUGUCCACAUGGUGGCUUUACUCCUACCUGUUUGGAUGUGAAAAACACAAUUCGAAUUAUAGAAUUAGGGAAAAAGAACCAAGAGCGCUGUAGCCAGGCUGCCAUCUUUACCUUUUGAGUUUCAUCUUGCUGUGUUGCCCAGGCUCUAGAAUACAGUGGCUUGAUCUCAGC